rnacentral:rRNA from 1 species
CUUGCUUUGAUGGAUGGCGACCGGCGCACGGGUGAGUAACACGUAUCCAACCUGCCGACAACACUGGGAUAGCCUUUCGAAAGAAAGAUUAAUACCGGAUGGUAUAGUUUUCCCGCAUGGGAUGAUUAUUAAAGAAUUUCGGUUGUCGAUGGGGAUGCGUUCCAUUAGGCAGUUGGCGGGGUAACGGCCCACCAAACCUACGAUGGAUAGGGGUUCUGAGAGGAAGGUCCCCCACAUUGGAACUGAGACACGGUCCAAACUCCUACGGGAGGCAGCAGUGAGGAAUAUUGGUCAAUGGACGAGAGUCUGAACCAGCCAAGUAGCGUGAAGGAUGACUGCCCUAUGGGUUGUAAACUUCUUUUAUACGGGAAUAAAGUUAGCCACGUGUGGUUUUUUGUAUGUACCGUAUGAAUAAGGAUCGGCUAACUCCGUGCCAGCAGCCGCGGUAAUACGGAGGAUCCGAGCGUUAUCCGGAUUUAUUGGGUUUAAAGGGAGCGUAGGCGGGUUGUUAAGUCAGUUGUGAAAGUUUGCGGCUCAACCGUAAAAUUGCAGUUGAUACUGGCGACCUUGAGUGCAACAGAGGUAGGCGGAAUUCGUGGUGUAGCGGUGAAAUGCUUAGAUAUCACGAAGAACUCCGAUUGCGAA